GGAAGGAAAUUCCCAGCCCCCCCCCUUUUUUUUUUUUCUGUGUGAGGGAGUGGGGGCAGGUGAGGAGGAGGGACACAGGGACACAGCUGGCUAUUGGUCAAAGUUAAAACCAACAUUCCUGACAGUGGAGUUCUGAGCUCUGCACAAGCUCUUCAGGAUGUGUUCCUGGACUAAGUGCCAAGGACUACUCCUGGGACUAAGAAAACUCCAGUGGGCUGUCCUCAUCACAUCAGACUCCCAUGGAUGUCAUGUAUCUUAUCUAAAGCCAGAGCAAGGCACAUGGGAUCAGGACCCACAGAGGCACGAAGGACACUUCCAUCCCUUCCUCUCCCUCUUCUCCAACAGUCCACACCAAGUCCCACUUGAAGGAAAAGACAUACCAGAUGACUGGGGUAUUCAAAAGAGGUUUAGAUCGUAGGAGAAGGUAACUCAGCCUCCUCCAACUUAGAAAAUGUCUACAGAAAGCCUGACAAGGGAGAAAGAACCAAAAGAAGGCCAGAAAGAUACCUAAUGGAUUCUUCUUUCUCCAUAGUGACCUGAUGGAGACAGCCAUUCCACUCAGCCUCAUCCAAGGACAUGGGGACACAACAAGGGACCUCACGAGAUCGCUUUACAGACCAGUGAGAUACAAAGUCCUCUUCCAAAACCCUUCAGGUCACUUAGACACAGAAUCUAUACCAAAGUCCCCACAAUUCAGACCCCUAAUCUCCUUUCCCAGCGGCCUCUGGUCUUUCCACCAAAGGAUAUUUCAAAAAGUGUACCCAUAACUCUCUCCAAACUCCAUGAGGGAGGGUUUUGAAGAUGGCUUUCUAGAGUGCUGGUCUUCAAACUGAGCUCCUUCAGUCUCUAGAGGUCACAAGAGAAACCUCAGUGUCUCCACGUAAGCAAUGGGGAGGCCAAACGGGAUGGAUAGGCUCCUGAUCCCCAGUCCCAAGUCAACCACAGCAGUCUAUCUGUUUUAUAUUUUGGGCUUUUGGGUAAAAUUUUAUCUGCAAAAAGCCUCCAAUGCCAGAAAAACUAUUUUUAAACCUUUGAGCUGGAGGAUGCAUCUCAGUAUCCCUAUUGCAUCCUCACACUCAGGCAGACUUUGAGGGAGGUGGUACAUGGCAGAGGGUGGGAAUGGGCACUGGGCACACAAGUUCCAGGUACCUCACUAACAUUAUUAAAGGUCCGGAUAAGGAUAUAGCCUGUCUCAGUUUAUAGCAACUAUGAAGAAAUGGUUGUCUUGAUAAAAAAAAUUUACUGUUACCUUCUCCCAGUAAAAUAAAACUCAGACCUUCCAAAAUUUGGCCUGGAAGGAGAAUCUCCAGGUAAAGAAUGUGAAUUAGACCUAGAAACACUUUUUUCUGUUCCUCUGGGUUCCAUGUAUCAUUUUCCUCUUUGGAUUUUCUCAAUUGCUCAGUGUUUCUACUCUGCAGCAUUCCCCCACUAUGCCUGACAGGAGAAGUGCUGUUCCUCAGCAUCUAUCUGUCUUCAAACAUCUUUCCAUUUCCUCCUAAAAUGGCAACAAGUCACCUCCACAGAUUCCUCAGCUGAGAUAAGAUUGGAAUUUUCAAGAAACAAUUACAUAUUAAGGGGAAGUAAAAUGGAGGGGGAGUACAAAUCAUUUAAAUGAUGCAACUUUCAAGCACAUGGCUCUGAUCCACCUGAACUUUCAAGCAUGGGAGUCUUAUUCCACCUGAACUGAAUUAUUCCCCAGGGAUUUCACCCCUUCUCAUUUCAUGUGGGAUCCAUGAGUGGCUGUAAGCUAGCUAUCCAAAGGGCCAGAUCACCUCCAGAGCCUUUGCUUAAGCCCUCACUUCAAAACUCCCAUCCUGUUGCCACCCCCGCCCCCAGGAACUUGACUCUUUCCAUGGACAAAACCAAAAAUCAGUCAUCUCUUCUUCCUACCUAAGGUUGGUCCGGAGGCACAUUUCUUCUGCAGGGAUUGGCAAGGAAGAUUUCAGUCUUCAAGGUCUGUUGCUGGGCCUGGGCAAUGGAUGCGUUUUUCAGUAAUAAAGAGAAGAAUUUGAAGUUCCAACAGAUGAUUCAGGAAAUGAGGAAAGAUGACUAGGGGGUGGGUGCUACAUAAAGAAGGAAUUUGAAGACAGCAGGAAUAUCUCAAAAUGGACUUUGGCAUGACUGUUAUAAAUUCUUCCUCUAACUCCUCUACAGAAUCUUUAAUAAAGUCUACAAUGCUCUUUUG
rnacentral:lncRNA from 1 species